rnacentral:snoRNA from 1 species
UCAGGAUUUUAUCACUGUGGCUAUGACGAUGAUUUUCACUAGGUAGUUAUAGUAAACGUAUCCUGUAUAUCAAUGUUGCGUUAGUCAUCUAUGUAAAAGUAGAUGGCGAACAGAGUGGGGAAUUAUUCUGUUAUAUUUCGAUAUUAAUGGACCUUCAAUUUUUUCUUUCAUUUUGAUCACGCUCAACAAUU